UACGUAGGGUGCAAGCGUUAAUCGGAAUUACUGGGCGUAAAGCGUGCGCAGGCGGUUCGCUAAGACAGAUGUGAAAUCCCCGGGCUUAACCUGGGAACUGCAUUUGUGACUGGCGGGCUAGAGUAUGGCAGAGGGGGGUAGAACUCCACGUGUAGCAGUGAAAUGCGUAGAGAUGUGGAGGAAUACCAAUGGCGAAGGCAGCCCCCUGGGCCAAUACUGACGCUCAUGCACGAAAGCGUGGGGAGCAAACAGG
rnacentral:rRNA from 1 species